AGAGAUGGGGUUUCACUAUGUUGUUCAGGCUGGUCUUAAACUCCGGGGCUCAAAUGAUCCUCUGUCUCAGCCUCCAAAAGUGCUGGAAUUACAGUCAUGAGCCACUGCAACUGAAUUGCCUUUUUUUUUUUUUUUUUUUUAAGAGACAUUCUUGCUAUGCUGCCCAGCUGGAGUGUAGUGGUGGGAUCACAGCUCACUGCAGGUUCAACCUCCUGGGCUCAAGUGAUCCCUCAGGCUCAGGUGAUCCCCCUGCCUUAGCCUCCAGAGUAAGUAGGACUAUAGGCUAGCCUCCAGAGUAGGUAGGACUAUAUGCCCAGCUAAUCCAGAUACCCUUUUUAUUAAAAAUCUGAAAAUCAGGCCGGGACCAGUGGCUCACACCUGUAAUUGCAGCACUUUGGGAGGACAAGGUGGGUGGAUCAUGAGGUCGGGAGUUCGAGACCAGCCUGACCAAUAUGGUAAAACCCCGUCUCUACUACAAUUACAAAAAUUAGCCAGGUGUGGUGGCAUGCACCUGUAGUUCCAGCUACUCGG
rnacentral:antisense_RNA from 1 species